GUUUCUAGGUUGGGAAUUAAAUGCACUAAUGGUUCCCACUCAUUCCUAAUUGGCACCAAAUUACACACAGUGGGCUCAGCAGGGGCCGAGGCGGCAGCUGGCGUCAGGGUGGUAGGAAGUCAGCCUUAUCAGAGCUGCGUGGGGUUCUUAGUCUUACAGAAGCCCGCACUGGGAGCACUGUGCUGGGAGUCCUUAGUCCUUCUUCUGGGGCAGUGGGAGGAGUCCAGGUUUUGGGGUUAGGGACAGCCCAGCUGGUUGGUUGGUUAUCUUUCUGCACCUCAGUUGCCUCAUCUGUAAAAUGGGGAUGGUCAUCACCCCUACCUCGUGGCAUUGUUGGCAAGUGAAGACUUCUGCUUUUCUGUGGGCAUCAUACCUAGAUCCUCUGCCACAACUCAGGAGAGGGGAUAAGGCUGGUUAGGAGAGCCCUUCAGACCUGGAGGGGAAGCAUCUCACCCUCAGCCCAAGGAUGUUGUAGCCCAACCAUCAGCAUUUCGUUCCUUGCGGAUGAGUCUUCUUCUGGCCUCUGGGAAUCUGUUUGAAGACACAAAUGCCCCUGGGAGGCUGCUGAUUUCCACUUGUCCAUCAGUCCAUCGACCUGUCCAUCCAUCACCCGCUGAAGGGAAGCAGAAAUGAAUACGAAGUGGAACCCACCUGUCCUCCAGAAACCCAGCAGGGAGAACGAAAUCUCAUUUGGAGGUGCGCUCUGUGCGGGGAGACAGCGGUGCAGGGU
ensembl:lncRNA